CGUGUAUAAGGAGGCAGUAUAAGGAGGGUGUAUAAGGAGGCAGCAUGCGGGCGUCGCGGCGCAGUUGUCGGGUUAUACACCCACCUACAGACACACCAGCCACAUAACACAUACACAACAGUACACACACAACAGUAAGAGAGAGAGGGAGAGUAGGGUGUAGGAGCGUGUAUAAGGAGGCAGUAUAAGGAGGGUGUAUAAAGAGGCAGCAUGCGGGCGUCGCGGCGCAGUUGUCGGGUUAUACACCCACCUACAGACACACCAGCCACAUAACACAUACACAACAGUACACACACAACAGUAAGAGAGAGAGAAGGAGAGUAGGGUGUAUAAGGAGGGUGUAUGCGGGCGUCGCGGCGCAGUUGUCGUGUGCGCGAGGCGGGUGCGCGGCGGCCCACCUCCACCUCGGCCGCUCCGCAUCACAACACCCAAAAUGGCUUCCAGCGAGACCACCACCGACGACUCCCUCUACCCUAUCGCCGUGCUCAUCGACGAGCUGAGGAACGAGGAUGUGCAGUUGCGUCUCAACUCUAUCAAGAAACUUUCCACUAUCGCUCUUGCAUUGGGGGUGGAGCGUACACGGAGCGAAUUGAUCCCAUUCCUGACAGACACGAUAUAUGAUGAAGAUGAAGUGUUGCUGGCACUAGCUGAACAGCUGGGUUCAUUCACUCCUCUGGUUGGAGGCCCAGAGUCUGUUCACUGUUUACUACCGCCCCUCGAAUCUUUAGCUACAGUUGAAGAGACAGUUGUACGAGAUAAAGCAGUCGAUUCGUUGAGGAGAAUUUGCGAGGAACACAACACAGAAGACCUCGAAACUCAUUUUGUACCCCUAGUUAAACGGUUGGCCGUCGGUGACUGGUUUACGUCGCGUACCUCCGCCUGCGGCCUGUUCUCGGUGUGUUACCCAAGAUUAUCAGUGGCUACCAAGGCCGAGCUGCGCUCCCACUUCCGCUCGCUGUGCCAGGACGACACCCCAAUGGUACGACGAGCGGCAGCAGGGAAGCUGGGCGAGUUUGCCAAAGUGGUUGAAGUGGAGUACCUGAAGACUGAUCUCAUCCCUAUGUUUGUUGCAUUGGCACAGGAUGAACAGAGCACGCCUCAACUCUGGCAGGAUUCGGUGCGGUUGUUGGCAGUGGAGGCGUGCGUGAGUAUGGCCGGCCUGCUCCAGCAGGAGGAUACGGAGAUGCUGGUGAUGCCCACGCUUCGUCAGGCUGCCGAAGAUAAGUCUUGGAGGGUGCGGUACAUGGUGGCAGACCGCUUCAUAGAUCUCCAGAAGGCUGUGGGCCCGGAAAUCACCAAGACGGAUCUUGUUCCCGCUUUCCAGAGUUUGCUAAAGGAUGUCGAAGCAGAGGUGCGCGCAGCAGCAGCUGGGAAAGUCAAGGACUUUUGUCAGAACGUGGAUCCCAGUGUCCAGGAAAAUGUUAUCAUGAACAACAUUCUUCCAUGUGUUAAGGAGUUGGUUACAGAUGGAAAUCAGCACGUAAAGUCAGCUCUGGCUGGAGUCAUCAUGGGCUUGUCACCAAUCCUUGGGAAAGAGAACACGGUCAACCACCUCCUGCCUCUCUUCCUCUCCCAACUGAAAGAUGAAUGUCCAGAAGUCAGACUGAACAUCAUCUCCAACCUAGAUUGUGUUAAUGAAGUUAUUGGCAUUCAACAGUUAUCCCAGUCAUUACUGCCGGCCAUUGUAGAGUUAGCAGAGGAUACAAAGUGGCGCGUGCGCCUAGCAAUUAUUGAAUACAUGCCCCUACUUGCUGGUCAAUUAGGGGUGGAUUUCUUCAACCAAUCCCUCUCCAAACUCUGCAUGACAUGGCUUGUCGACCAUGUGUACGCCAUCCGAGAAGCGGCAACCAACAACCUUCGGAAGCUGGUAGAGAAAUUUGGGCCAGACUGGGCAUCCCAAAAUGUUCUGCCCAAAAUUAAUGCCAUGUCUCGCGAUGGAAACUACCUACACCGCAUGACCUGUCUUGCCUGUAUAAAUGUUGUAGGAGAGGUGUGCGGUAAGGACGUGACGACCAAGAUCCUCCUCCCCACAGUUCUAGCAAUGGCCAAUGAUAAUGUGCCGAAUGUGAGGUUUAACGUAGCCAAAACUCUUCAGAUUAUUGGACCACACAUUGAAAAAGAGUCCCUCCAUUCGCAAGUAAAGUGUGUUCUAGAUAGACUGAAUGAUGAUCCCGACACCGACGUUAAAUAUUUUGCCUCGGAAGCACUAACAGAAAAUGGUCUAAUAUAAAUGGCCUUAUUUUUUCUAGCCUUUGGCUGAGAAAAGAAAAGGUGCUGCCGUAGUUUGCUUCUGCCAUGACUCCGUUGUUUGCCUCAUAAGCAUCAACACACAUCACAAGAGUGCACAAGUGGCCAUCAUAUAGAACCCAAUCACGGAAGUGACCGUUUCUCCAGAAGACCUUGGAAAUGUUGGGAGCAAAUGAGAGAACAUUUUAUCACACACCUCUCCUUCCUAUAUAUUUUCUUUCCCAGUAAACCUGCCCCCGAUGCUUUGUAAACUUUGUGAUUAGUAUUCUGGGCUGCCUUGUGAUGAGGCAGCCUGCUCGAUCCCCUAUACCCCAACACUUCAGCCGGCAGUGAAUCAGUUCUCAAUUUAGGUGUCAUCUUUUGGAUCCAAUUAUCCUGUGAGAAAAACAGAUUACUGUCAUAUCUUCAUUUUAUCAUCAAAGCCUUAUUAGUGAUGACUAUUUUAGUACUGGUAUUUAUUGAUUAUUGCUUGUAUUUAAGAUGUUACACCAGUAGUCUCUUCCCCCCUUCCCCCCCCCUUUUAUUUUUUGAGAAUUAGCUGAUGCUGUGGGAGUAUGUACACAGCAGGAUUUCUGUAUGUGCUUUUAUGGUAACUUGAAUGAAUGUUUAGAAACUCAUAAUAUUAAAGGAAGAGAACCACGAUUGUCUCGACUUUGGUGCAUUAGUGGACGAGUUCGGCUGUCUCUCUUCAGUGCCCCGGAAUAUUGGAACACUUUAGUCAUGAUGAAACAAAAAAUUAUAUAUAUAAAUUAGAACAUGACAUAGUCAGUUGCAACAUAAAUACCUUGGGAUCAGAAGACAAGACAUUGUCAAAGUGGAAGCAAAGGACAAGACCAUAAUGUGUAAGCCAUUGGAGCGUCUCCAUAACCUUGGUGGUGUCCCCCCAUAAAGGAGUUGACUGCAGAUGUGGAUAAUAGAGUGGCUGGAGCUUGGGGAUGGAGACGCUCCAACACCAUUACCAGUUCUGAGGCCGUUUAGGUUUUUGUUUACUACACUUAAUCUGCUAUAGAGCCAAAUUUAUCUACAAUCACAUAUAUACUUUUACAUUCAACCAAUGGAAAACAAAAUUCUGCAUUUUUAAUUGUUUUUGAGAUGGGAUUUAUUGUUAGUGGCAAUAUAUUAGAUGGACUAAUUACUAGUGUGACAGAUGGGGGGACCUUUGCCAUCUCUGCUCCUCUUACGUCACCUUCUUCCACUCACUUUUAUUUUAUUGAUUUUUUUUAUAUAAUAUAUACAUAUAUAAUUUUGCAAGAGAUAAAAAGAAAUAGCAAUCCAUUUUUGUUUAACAUUUAUUGUUCAUGUGAUGAGCUAUGAUGCUAAUGUAUUCUAUAACUUUUCUGUACAAAUAAAUAUUCCAUAGUG
rnacentral:misc_RNA from 1 species